UAGUUGUCCACCAUCAUUUUUGACAAAAUAGGACUCUAAGAUGAUUGCCUUUUGAUUCCUUUAAGAGCUUAGAAUCUAUUGCUGUUUAGUUUUAAUCAAAACAAGCAUCAGGUACAAAUUACUUAGGUUGUCAGGUCCAUGCUAGUGGAGAGAGGUGGGGGAAUAUGCUAUGGCGAACGUUGACAAGAGUGGUACAUGACUGUUACUCUAAGGUCGGCAAUUGUGCCUCAGCACCUGCAACUUCAGCUGCUGUGGCUUCAUUCUACCAAUAAAGAUAUAACCAGAGUAGCUUGACAUUUUUUCGAUGGAGAGGAAUUCUGGAGAUUCUCACACACACAGUAGGUAAAUCAUUGGCUUUUCAUCUAUGGGAUGUGGCCCUAUAAAUUAUUUGCAUCCAAUGAUUUGAAGCUUAAACUUGGAGAAACAUACCCUCAAGA